rnacentral:tRNA from 1 species
GGGGGAUUAGCUCAGUUGGGAGAGCGCUUGCAUGGCAUGCAAGAGGUCACCAGUUCAAGUCUGGUAUCCUCCACCA